GGUGAUCGGUUCAAGAAAAGAUAUUUCCCCCUGGACCAUUAUGCCCUUAUCGCAAUUAACAUAUUAAAUUUAAUCAAUUAAAAUUCCCCGCAAGAUCGGACGGCUAAUAAAAAUCAGACGUGAUCAGACAUGUAAGUACUGCUAAGUACUCCAAGUACUAACCCAAUCACCGUAAAACAGCUCUCUGAAUAAUAGUUUGAAUUUGUCUAAUUAAACAUUCAGUAUACAUAUAGUGUUUUAUGUUUUUCACCACCGAAAUCCAUGGUACUAAGUAAUUUACUUAAUCUAUUAACAUCUGACAUACUUCAUAUAUUAGGCAAAUGCAACCUAUGCCUCAGCUAAUUGAUAAAUUGAACCUCCCUACCAUAUUCAGAACUGGCAUGAUGCAGAACUCGCAUGGCGUACCCUGUUACAAAGGGAAAAAAUAUAUAAUUUUGUUACUUUGUACAUUUUGUUCUUGGUUUCUGAAGAACCAAGUGGAACCUAGAUUUUCAUCGAUCUCUACGUCAUUGUUCAUUAUCUAGAACUAUGCAUGAUAUUGCAUCUGGGCACUUAAAUUUUGGUUUAAGUUUUGUGGGCUGUGCAUAUCCGAUAUGGAAAUCAUCUUGCCUUAUCAUUAGGUCAGCUCAAUCCCAGCGGACAAUUUCUUUGUUGCUCUAUUAUGGGGUUGUUUGGAUUGGAUCCCAGAGCCGCCGUGCCACAAAAUUGGUCGUUGACAGAGUGGUUGCUAUGCGUUUGGAUGGACGCCGAUUCUUUGGCGUGCCCAGGCUAGCUCCACAUCUCAGUUCAAUUCCACGCCAGUUAUUUGGCGAGAAGCAGGCGGCCGAUUGCUCUGCCAAAAUUUUGGUGCCCCCGUGAUUGGCAGGGUUGGCUCGGGCAGCAUCCAAACAGGCCAUAUAUAUUUAUAUUAAACCAUAUGUUUAUAUCUUUCUGGUGAUGCAUUUGGUUUCUAAAUUGAUAUUUUUUUAAAAGUGCAUUGAUCCUUGGUGGUGAGAAAAAUUUUACUACAAGUUCAGUUUCUAUAGUGUUGCAAAAAAGUUGACUACUAAAUACUGAUGCAUACUAGACACACAACUUAUUUGAUUCCCAUUGCCAUAUAUCAACCUAGCUGAACUAAAGAUGACUAUUGAUGUUUCUAUAUGGUUUGCAGUUCGGUCGGUGCCGUGGUGGAGGGUUGUCUUGUGGUUUGACCGGAGCGGGGGCACACCAAAGAAGUGAUCUCGUCCCCAUUGGUCAGAUUAUCCAACCCCCUCUGCUUCUGUACAAUUUUGUCGACUUAUCUGGCAUUUUCUCGGCCGUGUGGAACCAGCACAUCUACCUGCGAAUCUCCAGGCUAUGGUACCAGCGGGGUGGCUUUGAUGAUGGCCCUAUCAAGAGUAUACAUGUGUGCUCUUCUGUAGGGAAAUCAUGCCAACGAGACGGUGCCUAAUGAGGUCAUAGACAUGUUUGUGGACACUUUGCAUGAGAGAAAUUUAUACAAGUGUGCCAGGAUCCAUGUGAGGUUCCCUGUAACAAUUCUGAGGGCAGUGGAAGGCACGUAUACGUUAUGGAUCACUAGAUCAACAAUUGUCCAUCACCUUAGGGUGUUCCAUUUGGUCAUGUUUGUUAACAUGCUUAGUUGCUUCUUCUUUAUUAUGUUUCUACUCCAAUAACUUUCUCAUAUUAUAUCACUUUUGUUAUUAACCAUCGUAUCGAAUGGCUGCGCUUUUGAUUUCGAGCUUCCUAUCGAGUGACUUUUUUUAAUCUAAUGAACGAACUGAGAUCGAUUAUGCCUUAUAGUUUCAUGCUGGUACUGAGUAGUAUUAUGUCUCACUUCUAUCAUGUUUGAAUGUUUCUCUUUCGCUGUAUUGUUACCAUAUAUGAAUACAUAUGAUAUACAUGUAUUGCUACUGGCUAAGCAUUCCCUA